rnacentral:rRNA from 1 species
CAAGUCGAACGGAGUUUUAACGGAAGUUUCGGAUGGAAGUUUAGAACUUAGUGGCGGACGGGUGAGUAACGCGUGGGUAACCUGCCUCAGUACAGGGGGAUAACAGCUAGAAAUGACUGCUAACACCGCAUAAUAUAGCGAAACCGCAUGAUUUUGCUAAUCAAAUAUUUAGUAGGUAUGAGAUGGGCCCGCGUCUGAUUAGCUAGUUGGUGGGUAAAAGCCUACCAAGGCGACGAUCAGUAGCCGGCUUGAGAGAGUGACCGGCCACAUUGGGACUGAGACACGGCCCAAACGUCCUACGGGAGGCAGCAGUGGGAAUAUUGGACAAUGGGGGAAACCCUGAUCCAGCCGACGCCGCGUGAGUGAAGAAGUAUUUCGGUAUGUAAAGCUCUAUCAGCAGGGAAGAUAAUGACAGUACCUGACUAAGAAGCCCCGGCUAACUACGUGCCAGCCGCCGC